AACCUGAGAAACCCAAAAGAUCGAAUGGGGAGAUUCAUCGGCAACGGUGCUGGCUCCCGUUGGUGCGCGAUGCUCCGGAUGAAUCCUCGUGGUUCAUCGGCGAGGGCACACCACCUUCGGCUCGAAUGUUCCGGCAUCGUAGUCGUGCACUUCUCCCCUAGUAGGACGUCGCGACCCGUUGUGUGUCGGUCUACGGCCCGAGAGGGCGCCUGUCGCGUCGCUUCGCGCGCACGCGGCAGACCCUCGGUCGCCUGGCCGGCUGCACGACGGUACUCGCACGGUAUCGGGCCGCAACCAAUCCAUUUUUUCGAAUGUGUGUGCGUCAGGCCCGCCGCAAGCUCGGUCAGUUCUUACCCGGAGGCACGGACCUGGUGCCGUCCCCGGGCCUGGCCAGCUGUUAGCAGGCGAUGUCCUUGGACUGGCCAAGACUCGAAUUACCGGUCGGCGUCGCUAUUGCUUUGGGUACUCUCAGGA
rnacentral:misc_RNA from 1 species